rnacentral:sRNA from 1 species
GCCGGGCAUGGUGGUGCAUGCCUGUAAUUCCAGCAGCUUGGGAGGCUGAGGCAGGAGGAUAAUGAGUUCAAAGCCAGCCUUAGCAAAAGCAAAGCACUAAGCAACUCAGUGAGACCCUGUCUCUA